AUUGAACGCUGGCGGCAUGCUUUACACAUGCAAGUCGAACGGUAACAGGCCUUCGGGCGCUGACGAGUGGCGAACGGGUGAGUAAUGCAUCGGAACGUGCCCAGUCGUGGGGGAUAACGCAGCGAAAGCUGUGCUAAUACCGCAUACGAUCUGCGGAUGAAAGCGGGGGACCUUCGGGCCUCGCGCGAUUGGAGCGGCCGAUGUCAGAUUAGGUAGUUGGUGGGGUAAAGGCUCACCAAGCCAACGAUCUGUAGCUGGUCUGAGAGGACGACCAGCCACACUGGGACUGAGACACGGCCCAGACUCCUACGGGAGGCAGCAGUGGGGAAUUUUGGACAAUGGGCGCAAGCCUGAUCCAGCAAUGCCGCGUGCAGGAAGAAGGCCUUCGGGUUGUAAACUGCUUUUGUACGGAGCGAAAAGGCUCCCUCUAAUACGGGGGGCUCAUGACGGUACCGUAAGAAUAAGCACCGGCUAACUACGUGCCAGCCGCCGCCGUAAGAC
rnacentral:rRNA from 1 species